rnacentral:lncRNA from 1 species
CCUUCUUAGUACCAAUAUUAUAAACAUGUCCCACUUCCCCCUUGUGAAGAAUAACCUCAAACGCCUCAGCAACAUCUUCACAGUAAAGAUAGCUACGAACAUUACUCCCAUCUCCAUGAAUAGGAAGAACCUUCCCCCUCAUCGCCAGCAACAUAAACUUAGGAAUCAGCUUCUCCGGAAACUGGUUAGGCCCAUAAACAUUAUUCCCACGCGUGGUGAUAACCGGAAGCCCGUACGAUCUCCCAUACGCCAUCACAAGCAUCUCAGCUCCGGCCUUGGUAGCGGAGUAAGGAUUCGUGGG